UACGGAGGGUGCAAGCGUUAUCCGGAUUCACUGGGGUUAAAGGGUGCGUAGGUGGGUUGGUAAGUCAGUGGUGAAAUCUCCGAGCUUAACUUGGAAACUGCCGUUGAUACUAUCAAUCUUGAAUAUCGCGUAGGUAAGCGGAAUAUGUCAUGUAGCGGUGAAAUGCUUAGAUAUGACAUAGAACACCAAUUGCGAAGGCAGCUUACUUCACGAUCAUUGACACUGAGGCACGAAAGCGUGGGGAUCAAACAGG
rnacentral:rRNA from 1 species